UUUUUUUAAACACAUCUUUACCAUUAAGAAUUCACAAUGUAACAGGUGAGAUAAGACAAAUAUAUUCAUAGUUAUUAUACAAAUAAAUAAAUACAAGCAUGAUCUAUAUGUCUAGAGCCUAUAGGAACUGAGCAAUAGGUUUAAGGUGAAAUUUACUUCAAUACAUAUUUUUUGAGGCUCUAUUUUCAAAAGACUGCUUUAGAGAAGUGCAUUUAUUGCAGGAAGAUUCUUUGUUGCCUUAACCUAGUGAGACAGAGAGGCAUGGAGAAAGAAAUGCUGAUGCUGGAAAGUGGACAGAGCAAAAUAAAAUUUUAAAACCAGAACUAAUUUUUAUUUUAAACCCAUUCUUUAUUUAAAUGCUACUCACAAGGCUGAAGAACUAACCAUACUGAAAUCAGAAAUGACUUUUAAGACUAAACUAAGCAUGUUGCAAAUGAUAACCAUCUUAAAGGUAAUAAUGUCUUUUCUUUCAAGAGCAGGCAGAAUUAUCCAAGCCUUUUUAGUAGUGGGCUACCCCAUUCCAUGGAAAAUAGAUUAUCCUAGCAAAGAAGAUUAGGAAGGGGAAAAGGAACUGGAAACUGGAAUAAGAAGCUUAAGUAGGUAAUGUCACACUAUACUCAAUCAGAUAAAAUCUCCCACUGAAGUAAAAUACCGUUUCAUGGCAAGCUACAGAGCCUGGGUUAUGACUCACUUGUAACAAAAUCUCUCCUAUG
rnacentral:lncRNA from 1 species